UACACAAAUAGCAACCACCACUGCAGAGCCUGCCAUAUUACAUUCUGGAGUGGCGGAAGUCCAGCACGUGCAGCCCAUCAAGCGGCGCAAAGGUUUGGCUGGCCGCGCCAGGAGCUGGUUAAAAAAAAAAUGGAGGCAUAAGAAAAUUUGCCCCAUUGAAAAUGAAGCUCCUGUUCAAGAACCAAAGGAAUGCAAAACUGAAAAGUUUCAGGAGACAUCACCUGACAUAGAAAAUGCUACAGAUGAAUAUCAACACACUCCUGUUGAUGACUCAGAGGAGUGUACACAUGGCAUUAAGAAGAAAGAGGUUGCCUCUGACAUGGAGAAGCCUGCAGCCCAGUAUCACAACCCACCAAGGAGAAUCAUCCAGCAGCAGCUCGGUCCAUGCCUGUCAAACGCCCAGCUCCAUACACUCCAGCCCGGUCCACAUUUCCCAAAGCUCCUUGUGAGAUUCCUCAGCAGCACCAGUGCACUGACUGUCACUCUGUGUCCUCUUAGGUCCUGUUAA
rnacentral:lncRNA from 13 species